rnacentral:rRNA from 1 species
CCUAACACAUGCAAGUCGAGCGGAUGAAGAGAGCUUGCUCUCUGAUUCAGCGGCGGACGGGUGAGUAAUGCCUAGGAAUCUGCCUGGUAGUGGGGGACAACGUCUCGAAAGGGACGCUAAUACGCAUACGUCCUACGGGAGAAAGCAGGGGACCUUCGGGCCUUGCGCUAUCAGAUGAGCCUAGGUCGGAUUAGCUAGUUGGUGAGGUAAUGGCUCACCAAGGCGACGAUCCGUAACUGGUCUGAGAGGAUGAUCAGUCACACUGGAACUGAGACACGGUCCAGACUCCUACGGGAGGCAGCAGUGGGGAAUAUUGGACAAUGGGCGAAAGCCUGAUCCAGCCAUGCCGCGUGUGUGAAGAAGGUCUUCGGAUUUUAAAGCACUUUAAGUUGGGAGGAAGGGCAGUAAAUUAAUACUUUGCUGUUUUGACGUUACCGACAGAAUAAGCACCGGCUAACUCUGUGCCAGCAGCCGCGGUAAUACAGAGGGUGCAAGCGUUAAUCGGAAUUACUGGGCGUAAAGCGCGCGUAGGUGGUUUGUUAAGUUGGAUGUGAAAUCCCCGGGCUCAACCUGGGAACUGCAUCCAAAACUGACAAGCUAGAGUACGGUAGAGGGUGGUGGAAUUUCCUGUGUAGCGGUGAAAUGCUUAGAUAUAGGAAGGAACACCAGUGGCGAA